rnacentral:rRNA from 1 species
AUUGAACGCUGGCGGCAGGCCUAACACAUGCAAGUCGAGCGGAUGAAGGGAGCUUGCUCCUGGAUUCAGCGGCGGACGGGUGAGUAAUGCCUAGGAAUCUGCCUGGUAGUGGGGUAUAACGUCCGGACACGGGCGCUAAUACCGCAUACGUCCUGAGGGCGUAAGUGUGGGAUCUUCGGACCUCACGCUAUCAGAUGAGCCUAGGUCGGAUUAGCUAGUUGGUGGGGUAAAGGCCUACCAAGGCGACGAUCCGUAACUGGUCUGAGAGGAUGAUCAGUCACACUGGAACUGAGACACGGUCCAGACUCCUACGGGAGGCAGCAGUGGGGAAUAUUGGACAAUGGGCGAAAGCCUGAUCCAGCCAUGCCGCGUGUGUGAAGAAGGUCUUCGGAUUGUAAAGCACUUUAAGUUGGGAGGAAGGGCAGUAAGUUAAUACCUUGCUGUUUUGACGUUACCAAAAGAAUAAGCACCGGCUAACUUCGUG